ACCCUUCCCGUUGCAGCCUGAGAAAUCAGGCUGAUGGCUGGUGACUUUUUAGUCACCAGCCU
rnacentral:sRNA from 1 species